AUUGAACGCUGGCGGCAGGCCUAACACAUGCAAGUCGAGCGGAUGAAGGGAGCUUGCUCCUGGAUUCAGCGGCGGACGGGUGAGUAAUGCCUAGGAAUCUGCCUGGCAGUGGGGGAUAACGUCCGGAAACGGGCGCUAAUACCGCAUACGUCCUGAGGUAGAACGUGGGGGAUCUUCGGACCUCACGCUAUCAGAUGAGCCUAGGUCGUAUUAGCUAGUUGGUGGGGUAAAGGCCUACCAAGGCGACGAUCCGUAACUGGUCUGAGAGGAUGAUCAGUCGCACUGGAACUGAGACACGGUCCAGACUCCUACGGGAGGCAGCAGUGGGGAAUAUUGGACAAUGGGCGAAAGCCUGAUCCAGCCAUGCCGCGUGUGUGAAGAAGGUCUUCGGAUUGUAAAGCACUUUAAGUUGGGAGGAAGGGCAGUAAGUUAAUACCUUGCUGUUUUGACGUUACCAACAGAAUAAGCACCGGCUAACUUCGUG
rnacentral:rRNA from 1 species